GAUGAACGCUGGCGGCGUGCCUAAUACAUGCAAGUCGAGCGAACAGACGAGGAGCUUGCUCCUCUGACGUUAGCGGCGGACGGGUGAGUAACACGUGGAUAACCUACCUUUAAGACUGGGAUAACUUCGGGAAACCGGAGCUAAUACCGGAUAAUAUCUUGAACCGCAUGGUUCAAUAGUGAAAGACGGUUUUGCUGUCAUCUAUAGAUAGAUCCGCGCCGCAUUAGCUAGUUGGUAAGGUAACGGCUUACCAAGGCAACGAUGCGUAGCCGACCUGAGAGGGUGACCGGCCACACUGGAACUGGGACACGGUCCAGACUCCUACGGGAGGCACCAGUAGGGAAUCUUCCGCAAUGGGCGAAAGCCUGACGGAGCAACGCCGCGUGAGUGAUGAAGGUCUUCGGAUCGUAAAACUCUGUUAUUGGGGAAGAACAAAUGUGUAAGUAACUAUGCACGUCUUGACGGUACCUAAUCAGAAAGCCACGGCUAACUACGUG
rnacentral:rRNA from 1 species